CUCAGCUAAAGCUAACUUUGACACCGGCGGGAGAUGGACGGUGCUGAAAAAAAAUCACGGCUAUGCGUUGAGUGACACUAGCCAUGUCAGGGAUCGGAGGAGGGGCGUGGCGUUUUGAUUGACAGCUACGUGAAUUGCAAGCAGUUUCCUCUGAGACAAAAACACCUGCAGAGACAGAC